rnacentral:rRNA from 1 species
AUUGAACGCUGGCGGCAGGCCUAACACAUGCAAGUCGAGCGGAUGAAGAGAGCUUGCUCUCUGAUUCAGCGGCGGACGGGUGAGUAAUGCCUAGGAAUCUGCCUGGUAGUGGGGGACAACGUUUCGAAAGGAACGCUAAUACCGCAUACGUCCUACGGGAGAAAGUGGGGGAUCUUCGGACCUCACGCUAUCAGAUGAGCCUAGGUACGAUUAGCUAGUUGGUGAGGUAAAGGCUCACCAAGGCGACGAUCGUUAACUGGUCUGAGAGGAUGGUCAGGCACACUGGAACUGAGACACGGUCCAGACUCCUACGGGAGGCAGCAGUGGGGAAUAUUGGACAAUGGGCGAAAGCCUGAUCCAGCGAUGCCGCGUGUGUGAAGAAGGUCUUCGGAGUGUAAAGCACUUUAAGUUGGGAGGAAGGGCAGUAAGUUAAUACCUUGCUGUUUUGACGUUACCGACAGAAUAAGCACCGGCUAACUUCGUGCCAGCAGCCGCGGUAAUAC